rnacentral:rRNA from 1 species
UACAGAGGGGGGCAAGCGUUGUUCGGAAUUACUGGGCGUAAAGGGCGCGUAGGCGGCCUUCUAAGUCGAACGUGAAAUCCCCGGGCUCAACCCGGGAACUGCGUCCGAUACUGGAAGGCUUGAAUCCGGGAGAGGGAUGUGGAAUUCCGAGGUGUAGCGGUGAAAUGCGUAGAUAUCUGGAGGAACACCGGUGGCGAAGGCGACAUCCUGGACCGGU